rnacentral:snRNA from 1 species
GUGCUCGCUUCAGCAGCACAUAUGCUAAAAUUGGAAUGAUACAGAGAAGAUUAGCAUGACCCCUGCACAAGGAUGACACAGAAAUUCGUGAAGCAUUCCAUAUUUUU